UACGUAGGGGGCUAGCGUUGUCCGGAAUCAUUGGGCGUAAAGCGCGUGUAGGCGGUCCGGUAAGUCCGCUGUGAAAGCCAGGGGCUCAACCCUUGGAUGCCGGUGGAUACUGUCGGGCUUGAGUACGGAAGAGGCGAGUGGAAUUCCUGGUGUAGCGGUGAAAUGCGCAGAUAUCAGGAGGAACACCAAUUGCGAAGGCAGCUCGCUGGGACGUUACUGACGCUGGAGACGCGAAAGCGUGGGGAGCAAACAGG
rnacentral:rRNA from 1 species